GUCUUCGUAGCGCAGUUGGUUAGCGCGUAGGUCUCAUAUUAAUAUGAUCCGGUCAAAGAUCGGGCUAUCCUAAGGUCGUGAGUUCGAGUCUCACCGAGGACA
rnacentral:tRNA from 1 species